rnacentral:rRNA from 1 species
UGAACGCUAGCGGCAGGCCUAACACAUGCAAGUCGAGGGGCAGCAUGGCGUAGCGAUACGCUGAUGGCGACCGGCGCACGGGUGCGUAACGCGUAUGCAACCUGUCCGGCGCGAGGGGGGUAGCCCGUCGAAAGGCGGGGUAAUCCCGCAUGAACCGGUAUUCCCGCAUGGGGGUGCCGGCAAAGUGGAGACGCGGGGCCGGAGGGGCAUGCGUGCCAUUAGCUGGCUGGUGGGGUAACGGCCCACCAGGGCGAUGAUGGCUAGGGGGUCUGAGAGGAUGGUCCCCCACACUGGUACUGAGACACGGACCAGACUCCUACGGGAGGCAGCAGUCGAGAAUAGUCUACAAUGGCCGAAAGGCUGAUAGUGCGACGCCGCGUGAACGAAGAAGCCCUUCGGGGUGUAAAGUUCUUUUAUAUGUGAGCAGUGCUUUCUAUGUGAACAGCAUGGGGAGAGAGAUAUUAGCAUAUGAAUAAGCAACGGCUAACUCCGUG